AAGGCUACGUUAUUUCUUUUAAAUAAAAACCCGUGACGUCAUCUAUGUUUACACUAUUGGUUACCGGAUGUCACACUAUGUCCUGUGCGUUCGCUUCGUCUCAUUCACUGCCAGAGUCAACGGUUCGCGCUGGGUAAUGAUGGCAGUCACCGUUCAAAGGCAUACGGGUUCAGGCAACAUAAUACAUCUAAAAAUUAAUUGAAACAGCUCGACACCGCUUUAACUUGGCACGAAGUUCUGGGAAAAAAAAACUGUGCCCGGCAUCAAAAUAAGGUUUGCAACGAUGCGCCUGAAGGCACGGGUCGAAGAUCCAGUCAGUGACGUCACGAUAUGCUAAUUUGUUUAAAGUCAUACCUACGUAAUCACCAUCACCCAAAUUGUACCUUUUUUUUACAUUGAAACUUGAAAAAAAAAUAUAUAGACCUACCUACCGACCCUUUUUUUUUUUUUUUUACUGUUACUGCAAACCAAAAGGAUAUUUUUAAGGAUGGCCUCAUUAAGCGCAUGUAAGACAGAAAGCAUCCUGAUUGGCCUGUUUCGUUUGCCAUCAUCGCACCUCUUGGACAAUAUCAUCAGCUCAUUCACAUUCACGAUCAUGGCUCAUCCUGUUAUGAUUCAAUGAUUGCUACUACCAUAAGUACAGAGAGCUGGAAUCCCACAAUACCAAGUGUGCUCAUUUAAGAAGGGUCUUUCACAAAACUCCCAAUGGCUGGAUUAAAAUUCGGUGUCUGCCAGAAUUUUUUACUCAGAUACUGUAUGUAAGAAUACUCUCAAAACCUUAUCAAAGCAAGCUGGAGAAAGUCUCAAACUGUGCUGCAGGAUUUCUCACUGUGCUUCACCGUACAGUACAUACAACAACUAUGAAGACCUCGCUCAGACUGUCUGCUCUCAUGGGGGUUGUGAUGAUGGAGAGACAACAACUGAUUUGAAUGUGACACAAGUUGGAAGGCCACAGUGUAUUGCAUCUGCCUGUUCUGUGCUGAGAGCAUGAUGUGAAGUGCUGGAGAAGCAAUGUACCUGGUGCCUUGAGACUCUAAUCAGGAGGAUGAUUCAAGUGCCACUGCAGCUCUUAUGCAAGAGGAGAGAAUUUCUUCACACACGUUACUAGUGCCAACUUGACUCAAACCCGGAAACACAUCUCAGUCCCAGUGAGCACUACACUGGCACAAAAAAAAAAAAAACAGUGAUUAUUAAACUUCAAAUCUGUUUCUAUACAGUAUUUACUUCAUUGUGUUAUGAUGUACAUUGCAUUCUACAGGUGUAUUUGUUUUUCAGGACUUUUCUUCAAUGCAUAAAAAUUCAAUUUAAAGCAA